rnacentral:rRNA from 1 species
CCUACGGGAGGCAGCAGUGGGGAAUAUUGGACAAUGGGGGGAACCCUGAUCCAGCUAUGCCGCGUGUGUGAAGAAGGCCCUCGGGUUGUAAAGCACUUUCAGUGAGGAAGAACGCCUGGUGGUUAAUACCCAUCAGGAAAGACAUCACUCACAGAAGAAGCACCGGCUAACUCCGUGCCAGCAGCCGCGGUAAUACGGAGGGUGCGAGCGUUAAUCGGAAUUACUGGGCGUAAAGCGCGCGUAGGUGGCUUGAUAAGCCGGUUGUGAAAGCCCCGGGCUCAACCUGGGAACGGCAUCCGGAACUGGCAAGCUAGAGUGCAGAAGAGGAAGGUAGAAUUCCCGGUGUAGCGGUGAAAUGCGUAGAGAUCGGGAGGAAUACCAGUGGCGAAGGCGGCCUUCUGGACUGACACUGACACUGAGGUGCGAAAGCGUGGGUAGCAAACAGGAUUAGAUACCCCGGUAGUC